AUUACAGCUUGUAAACAGUAUUGGGGCUUGUGCAUAAGCCUAGCAUCAAGAGGUACAUUGGUAUUUCAGUGAUACCGAAAAAAGAUAAUAGUUUUGUUAGGUAUAGCUUUGUUGUUCGGAAGCCCCGCCGUUACUUUUUGCGUUGUUGUCUGAAGCUGCAGUCCAUCAGUGUUUUUCCAUUUUCAUAAACACAAUAAACUUCAAAACCUGGGAACACCAUAUUUGGUGUUUACCUUAAGAUAACACAAACAUCUAAAACUUUGUAUCAUAACCUGGUAUUCUAUUCGUCUCGUAGUUAUUAU